rnacentral:rRNA from 1 species
UACGGAGGGUGCUAGCGUUGUUCGGAAUUACUGGGCGUAAAGGGCGCGUAGGCGGCCGUUUGCGUCGGAUGUGAAAGCCCCGGGCUCAACCUGGGAAUUGCAUUCGAGACUGAAUAGCUAGGGUACGGUAGAGGGAAGCGGAAGUUUCCGGUGUAUCGCGGUGAAAUGACGUAGAUAUCGGAAGGAACAUCAGUGGCGAAAGCGGCUUCCUGGACCAGUACCGACGUUCAGGCACGAAAGCGUGGGGAGCAAACAGG